GUGAGGAAUAUUGUGCAAUGGAGGCAACUCUGACGCAGCCAUGCCGCGUGCAGGGAGAAGGCGCUACGCGUUGUAAACUGCUUUUAACCGGGAAGAAACCCCAGGACGUGUCCUGGGUUGACGGUACCGGAGGAAUAAGCACCGGCUAACUUCGUGCCAGCAGCCGCGGUAAUACGAAGGGUGCAAGCGUUAUCCGGAUUCAUUGGGUUUAAAGGGUGCGUAGGCGGAGCGUUAAGUCAGUGGUGAAAUCCUGCAGCUUAACUGUAGACUUGCCAUUGAUACUGGCGCUCUUGAGUGCGCUGGAAGUGGGCGGAAUGUGCCGUGUAGCGGUGAAAUGCUUAGAUAUGGCACAGAACACCAAUUGCGAAGGCAGCUCACUAAGGCGAUACUGACGCUGAGGCACGAAAGCGUGGGGAUCGAACAGGAUUAGAUACCCCGGUAGUCC
rnacentral:rRNA from 1 species